UACGGAGGGUGCGAGCGUUGUCCGGAAUCACUGGGCGUAAAGGGCGCGUAGGCGGCCUCCUAAGUCGGACGUGAAAGCCCCAGGCUUAACCUGGGAACUGCGUCCGAUACUGGGAGGCUUGGAUUCGGGAGAGGGAUGUGGAAUUCCAGGUGUAGCGGUGAAAUGCGUAGAUAUCUGGAGGAACACCGGUGGCGAAGGCGGCAUCCUGGACCGAGAUCGACGCUGAGGCGCGAAAGCUAGGGGAGCAAACGGG
rnacentral:rRNA from 1 species